ACGUGGGUGAUCUGCCCUGCACUUCGGGAUAAGCCUGGGAAACUGGGUCUAAUACCGGAUAGGACGAUGGUUUGGAUGCCAUUGUGGAAAGUUUUUCGGUGUGGGAUGAGCUCGCGGCCUAUCAGCUCGUUGGUGGGGUAAUGGCCUACCAAGGCGUCGACGGGUAGCCGGCCUGAGAGGGUGUACGGCCACAUUGGGACUGAGAUACGGCCCAG
rnacentral:rRNA from 1 species